rnacentral:sRNA from 1 species
CAUAUUUAGUCAUUCAUUUUUGAUCAGGAGAAAGAAGACAGCCAUCAUUUGAAAGGUAAAGCUUCAGCGACUGAAGGAGUGUGGACUUUUUGAAUUUCAAGAACAGUAAAGUUGGAACACAGCAGAGGGUGUGUAAUAAAAUACAGAUUGGAAAGAAGACUGAUGAAGAAAAAUAACAGCAUGAUUCAGGCACACCAUUGAGUUCUUUGGGAUGCCCGAAAGUGUCUGGUUGGGAAACAUGAAAUAGAAGACGAGAACCUGCCUCAGCAAGCGUACCUGAGAAUACUUUUAAAGGAACCUGUUGAUAAAUGCAAAACAGUGGCUGUUGCAGGUGAUGGAACUGUACUGGAACAAUGGGAGAAGCUGGUAGCUUAUAGGAAGCCAAGAUGACCAGAAUGUUUUUAAAUAAUCCCGUGACGACAGCAUGUACGAUCCCUGAAUGGGCCCGUGGG